AUUGAACGCUGGCGGCAGGCCUAACACAUGCAAGUCGAGCGGAGCGGCGGACGGGUGAGUAAUGCCUAGGAAUCUGCCUGGUAGUGGGGGAUAACGUCCGGAAACGGGCGCUAAUACCGCAUACUAUCAGAUGAGCCUAGGUCGGAUUAGCUAGUUGGUGGGGUAAAGGCCUACCAAGGCGACGAUCCGUAACUGGUCUGAGAGGAUGAUCAGUCACACUGGGACUGAGACACGGUCCAAACUCCUACGGGGGGCAGCAGUGGGGAAUAUUGGGACAGGGGGGAAAGGCUGAUCCAGCCAAGGCGCGGGGUUGAAGAAGGGCUUCGGAUUGGAAAAGACUUUAAGGUGGGAAGCGGUACCAACAGAAUAAGCACCGGCUAACUUCGUGCCAGCAGCCGCGGUAAUAC
rnacentral:rRNA from 1 species